CCAAACUGUUGCCUCGGCGGGAUCUCUGCCCCGGGCGCGUCGCAGCCCCGGACCAAGGCGCCCGCCGGAGGACCAACCAAAACUCUUAUUGUAUACCCCCUCGCGGGUUUUUUACUAUCUGAGCCAUCUCGGCGCCCCUCGUGGGCGUUUCGAAAAUGAAUCAAAACUUUCAACAACGGAUCUCUUGGUUCUGGCAUCGAUGAAGAACGCAGCGAAAUGCGAUAAGUAAUGUGAAUUGCAGAAUUCAGUGAAUCAUCGAAUCUUUGAACGCACAUUGCGCCCGCCAGUAUUCUGGCGGGCAUGCCUGUCCGAGCGUCAUUUCAACCCUCGAACCCCUCCGGGGGGUCGGCGUUGGGGAUCGGCCCUUUACGGGGCCGGCCCCGAAAUACAGUGGCGGUCUCGCCGCAGCCUCUCCUGCGCAGUAGUUUGCACACUCGCAUCGGGAGCGCGGCGCGUCCACAGCCGUUAAACACCCCAAACUUCUGAAAUGUUGACCUCGGAUCAGGUAGGAAUACCCGCUGAACUUAAGCAUAUCAAUAAGCCGGAGGAA
rnacentral:rRNA from 1 species